rnacentral:rRNA from 1 species
UACGUAGGGGGCAAGCGUUGUCCGGAAUUACUGGGCGUAAAGCGCGCGUAGGCGGCUUUGCAAGUCGAGUGUGAAAUCCCCAGGCUUAACCUGGGAACUGCAUUCGAGACUGCAUAGCUAGAGUAUGGGAGAGGGAAGUGGAAUUUCAGGUGUAGCGGUGAAAUGCGUAGAUAUCUGAAGGAACAUCAGUGGCGAAAGCGGCCUUCUGGGCAUUUCCUGACGCUGAGGCGCGAAAGCGUGGGGAGCAAACAGG